rnacentral:ncRNA from 1 species
GUAGGUUUCCAAUUUCCUAAAAGAAUUGGUGGUGCGGAUGGGAUAACUCCCGCCUGGUUUCUUGCCUCCAGUCAAAGGGCAAGUGGCGAGCCGAGCA